rnacentral:rRNA from 1 species
GCUUGCUACUGAUCUUAGCGGCGGACGGGUGAGUAAUGCUUAGGAAUCUGCCUAUUAGUGGGGGACAACAUUUCGAAAGGAAUGCUAAUACCGCAUACGUCCUACGGGAGAAAGCAGGGGAUCUUCGGACCUUGCGCUAAUAGAUGAGCCUAAGUCGGAUUAGCUAGUUGGUGGGGUAAAGGCCUACCAAGGCGACGAUCUGUAGCGGGUCUGAGAGGAUGAUCCGCCACACUGGGACUGAGACACGGCCCAGACUCCUACGGGAGGCAGCAGUGGGGAAUAUUGGACAAUGGGCGCAAGCCUGAUCCAGCCAUGCCGCGUGUGUGAAGAAGGCCUUAUGGUUGUAAAGCACUUUAAGCGAGGAGGAGGCUACUUUAGUUAAUACCUAGAGAUAGUGGACGUUACUCGCAGAAUAAGCACCGGCUAACUCUGUGCCAGCAGCCGCGGUAAUACAGAGGGUGCAAGCGUUAAUCGGAUUUACUGGGCGUAAAGCGCGCGUAGGCGGCUAAUUAAGUCAAAUGUGAAAUCCCCGAGCUUAACUUGGGAAUUGCAUUCCAUACUGGGUAGCUAGAGUGUGGGAGAGGAUGGUAGAAUUCCACGUGUAACGGUGA